rnacentral:rRNA from 1 species
AGGACGAACGCUGGCGGCGUGCUUAACACAUGCAAGUCGAGCGGAAAGGCCCUUCGGGGUACUCGAGCGGCGAACGGGUGAGUAACACGUGAGUAAUCUGCCCUUAGCUCUGGGAUAGCUCCGGGAAACCGGGAUUAAUACCAGAUACAACCACUUUAGACAUCUGUUGUGGUGGAAAGAAUUUUGGCUAAGGAUGAGCUCGCGGCCUAUCAGCUUGUUGGUGGGGUAAUGGCCUACCAAGGCGACGACGGGUAGCCGGCCUGAGAGGGCGACCGGCCACACUGGGACUGAGACACGGCCCAGACUCCUACGGGAGGCAGCAGUGGGGAAUAUUGCGCAAUGGGCGAAAAGCCUGACGCAGCGACGCCGCGUGGGGGAUGAAGGCCUUCGGUUGUAACCCUUUCAGCAGGACGAAGCGAAAGUGACGGUACCUGCAGAAGAAGCGCCGGCUAACUACGUGCCAGCAGCCGC